rnacentral:rRNA from 1 species
GGGGUCCCGGCGAAAGUGGGGGAACCUGGGGAACUCAGGCUAAUACCGCAUACGUCCUACGGGAGAAAGCAGGGGAUCUUCGGACCUUGCGCUAUCGGAUGAGCCCAUGUCGGAUUAGCUUGUUGGUGAGGUAAUGGCUCACCAAGGCGACGAUCCGUAGCUGGUCUGAGAGGAUGAUCAGCCACACUGGGACUGAGACACGGCCCAGACUCCUACGGGAGGCAGCAGUGGGGAAUAUUGCACAAUGGGCGCAAGCCUGAUGCAGCCAUGCCGCGUGUGUGAAGAAGGCCUUCGGGUUGUAAAGCACUUUCAGUCAGGAGGAAAGGUUAGUAGUUAAUACCUGCUAGCUGCGACGUUACUGACAGAAGAAGCACCGGCUAACUCCGUGCCAGCAGCCGCGGUAAUACGGAGGGUGCGAGCGUUAAUCGGAAUUACUGGGCGUAAAGCGUACGCAGGCGGUUUGUUAAGCGAGAUGUGAAAGCCCCGGGCUCAACCUGGGAACUGCAUUUCGAACUGGCAAACUAGAGUGUGAUAGAGGGUGGUAGAAUUUCAGGUGUAGCGGUGAAAUGCGUAGAGAUCUGAAGGAAUACCGAUGGCGAAGGCAGCCACCUGGGUCAACACUGACGCUCAUGUACGAAAGCGUGGGGGAGCAAACGGGAUUAGAUACCCCGGUAGUCCACGCCGUAAACGAUGUCUACUAGAAGCUCGGAGCCUCGGUUCCGUUUUUCAAAGCUAACGCAUUAAGUAGACCGCCUGGGGAGUACGGCCGCAAGGGUUAAAACUCAAAUGAAUUGACGGGGGCCCGCACAAGCGGUGGAGCAUGUGGUUUAAUUCGAUGCACGCGAAGAACCCUUACCUACACUUGACAUACAGAGAACUUACCAGAGAUGGUUUGGUGCCUUCGGGAACCUCUGAUACAGGUGCUGCAUGGGCUGUCGUCAAGCUCGUGUUUGGUGAGAUUGUUGGGUUAGGUCCCCGCACGAAGCCGCAACCCCUAAUCCCUUAGUUGCUAGCAGUAAUUGCCUUGACAACCUCCUAAGGAGACUGGCCGUGGAAUAAACCGGAGGAAGGUGGGGAACCGACUGUCAGUUCAUCAUUGGCCUUAGCCGUGUAGCCUUAACACACGUGCUCAAUUGCCUAUACGACUGUCCUGCGAACUCUCGCCGUAGA